UACGUAGGAGACGAGCGUUGUCCGGAGUUACUGGGCGUAAAGGGUGCGUAGGCGGGUCUUUAAGUCAGGGGUGAAAUCCUGGAGCUCAACUCCAGAACUGCCUUUGAUACUGGGGAUCUUGAGUCCGGGAGAGGUGAGUGGAACUGCGAGUGUAGAGGUGAAAUUCGUAGAUAUUCGCAAGAACACCAGUGGCGAAGGCGGCUCACUGGCCCGGUACUGACGCUGAGGUGCGAAAGCGUGGGGAGCAAACAGG
rnacentral:rRNA from 1 species